UGGGGAAUAUUGCACAAUGGGCGGAAGCCCGAUGCAGCAACGCCGCGUGCGGGAUGACGGCCUUCGGGUUGUAAACCGCUUUCGCCUGUGACGAAGCGUGAGUGACGGUAAUGGGUAAAGAAGCACCGGCUAACUACGUGCCAGCAGCCGCGGUGAUACGUAGGGUGCGAGCGUUGUCCGGAUUUAUUGGGCGUAAAGGGCUCGUAGGUGGUUGAUCGCGUCGGAAGUGUAAUCUUGGGGCUUAACCCUGAGCGUGCUUUCGAUACGGGUUGACUUGAGGAAGGUAGGGGAGAAUGGAAUUCCUGGUGGAGCGGUGGAAUGCGCAGAUAUCAGGAGGAACACCAGUGGCGAAGGCGGUUCUCUGGGCCUUUCCUGACGCUGAGGAGCGAAAGCGUGGGGAGCGAACA
rnacentral:rRNA from 1 species